CCGCGAGGGGCUCAGCCCUGACCUCAGACUCAGCUGCGAGGCCCGGAAUCUGCACGGGGCCCAGAGCGUCUCUGUCCUGCUGCUGCCAGGGAAGGCCGUGCCCCAGGCGGGAGUGGUUCCUGCGGCUCUCGGAGGUGCUGGUGCCAUGGCCCUGCUGUCCCUGUGCGUGUGUCUCAUCUUCUUUUGCAUAGUGAAAGCCCGCAGGAGGCAAGCAGCCGGGAGACCAAAUGUCACGAAUGAUGAAGACCCUGUCAUGGGCACAGUCACCUGGGGCUCCAAGAAAAAUCUUCAGCCAGACGGGC